rnacentral:rRNA from 1 species
AAGAGUUUGAUCAUGGCUCAGAUUGAACGCUGGCGGCAGGCCUAACACAUGCAAGUCGAACGGUAACAGGAAGCAGCUUGCUGCUUUGCUGACGAGUGGCGGACGGGUGAGUAAUGUCUGGGAAACUGCCUGAUGGAGGGGGAUAACUACUGGAAACGGUGGCUAAUACCGCAUAACGUCGCAAGACCAAAGAGGGGGACCUUCGGGCCUCUUGCCAUCAGAUGUGCCCAGAUGGGAUUAGCUUGUUGGUGAGGUAACGGCUCACCAAGGCGACGAUCCCUAGCUGGUCUGAGAGGAUGACCAGCCACACUGGAACUGAGACACGGUCCAGACUCCUACGGGAGGCAGCAGUGGGGAAUAUUGCACAAUGGGCGCAAGCCUGAUGCAGCCAUGCCGCGUGUAUGAAGAAGGCCUUCGGGUUGUAAAGUACUUUCAGCGGGGAGGAAGGUGUUGUGGUUAAUAACCGCAGCAAUUGACGUUACCCGCAGAAGAAGCACCGGCUAACUCCGUGCCAGCAGCCGCGGUAAUACGGAGGGUGCAAGCGUUAAUCGGAAUUACUGGGCGUAAAGCGCACGCAGGCGGUCUGUCAAGUCGGAUGUGAAAUCCCCGGGCUCAACCUGGGAACUGCAUUCGAAACUGGCAGGCUUGAGUCUUGUAGAGGGGGGUAGAAUUCCAGGUGUAGCGGUGAAAUGCGUAGAGAUCUGGAGGAAUACCGGUGGCGAAGGCGGCCCCCUGGACAAAGACUGACGCUCAGGUGCGAAAGCGUGGGGAGCAAACAGGAUUAGAUACCCUGGUAGUCCACGCCGUAAACGAUGUCUACUUGGAGGUUGUGCCCUUGAGGCGUGGCUUCCGGAGCUAACGCGUUAAGUAGACCGCCUGGGGAGUACGGCCGCAAGGUUAAAACUCAAAUGAAUUGACGGGGGCCCGCACAAGCGGUGGAGCAUGUGGUUUAAUUCGAUGCAACGCGAAGAACCUUACCUGGUCUUGACAUCCACGGAAGU